rnacentral:tRNA from 2 species
GCACCUGUAGCAUAGUGGUUAAUGCGCCUCUUUAGUAAGGAGGAGACCGCGUGUUCGAAUCACGCCAGGUGCA